rnacentral:rRNA from 1 species
UACGUAGGUGGCGAGCGUUGUCCGGAUUUACUGGGCGUAAAGAGCGCGCAGGCGGUCGUGCAAGUCGAAUGUGAAAGCCCCCGGCUCAACUGGGGAGGGUCAUUCGAUACUGUCCGACUCGAAGGCAGGAGAGGGAAGCGGAAUUCCCGGUGUAGUGGUGAAAUGCGUAGAUAUCGGGAGGAACACCAGUGGCGAAGGCGGCUUUCUGGCCUGUUCUUGACGCUGAGGCGCGAAAGCUAGGGGAGCAAACGGGG